rnacentral:rRNA from 1 species
ACGAACGCUGGCGGCGUGCUUAACACAUGCCAGUCGAACGGAAAGGCCCUGCUUUUGUGGGGUGCUCGAGUGGCGAACGGGUGAGUAACACGUGAGUAACCUGCCCUUGACUUUGGGAUAACUUCAGGAAACUGGGGCUAAUACCGGAUAGGAGCUCCUGCUGCAUGGUGGGGGUUGGAAAGUUUCGGCGGUUGGGGAUGGACUCGCGGCUUAUCAGCUUGUUGGUGGGGUAGUGGCUUACCAAGGCUUUGACGGGUAGCCGGCCUGAGAGGGUGACCGGCACAAUGGAGCGUGAGGAGGGGACGAGGCCCUGAGGGGAGGUGGGGGGGGGGAAUGUUCGGGAGGGGGCGGAAGCUGGAGGCAGGGAGGCGGGGGGGGGGAGGAGCGACGGCGGGUUGUAAGCGGUGUUCGCAGGUGACGAAGGGUGAGUGACAGGAAAGGGUAAAGAAGCAGCGGAUAGCGACGUACCAGGAGGGGCGAAAAGGAUGGAGGGAAACCGUCUGAAC